rnacentral:rRNA from 1 species
GCAGUCGCCACGGUAAUACAGAGGGUGCGAGCGUUAAUCGGAUUUACUGGGCGUAAAGCGUGCGUAGGCGGCUUCUUAAGUCGGAUGUGAAAUCCCUGAGCUUAACUUAGGAAUUGCAUUCGAUACUGGGAAGCUAGAGUAUGGGAGAGGAUGGUAGAAUUCCAGGUGUAGCGGUGAAAUGCGUAGAGAUCUGGAGGAAUACCGAUGGCGAAGGCAGCCAUCUGGCCUAAUACUGACGCUGAGGUACGAAAGCAUGGGGAGCAAACAGGAUUAGAGACCCCUGUAGUCCCUGUCUCUUAUAC